rnacentral:rRNA from 1 species
UGGGGGAUAUUGCUCAAUGGGGGAAACCCUGAAGCAGCAACGCCGCGUGAAGGAAGAAGGUCUUCGGAUUGUAAACUUUUGUCUUCUGGGAAGAUAAUGACGGUACCAGAGGAGGAAGCCACGGCUAACUACGUGCCAGCAGCCGCGGUAAUACGUAGGUGGCAAGCGUUGUCCGGAAUUACUGGGUGUAAAGGGUGCGUAGGCGGGUGCGCAAGUCAGAUGUGAAAUCCCGGGGCUUAACCCCGGAACUGCAUUUGAAACUGUGCGUCUUGAGUGGAGGAGAGGUAAGUGGAAUUCCCAGUGUAGCGGUGAAAUGCGUAGAUAUUGGGAGGAACACCAGUGGCGAAGGCGACUGACUGGACUCUAACUGACGCUGAGGCACGAAAGCGUGGGGAGCAAACA